GGGGAUUGAAACCCGGCCCCAGAUUCCUACGGGAGGCACCAGUGGGGAAUAUUGCCCAAUGGGCGCAAGCCUGAUGCAGCGACGCCGCGUGAGGGAUGACGGCCUUCGGGUUGUAAACCUCUUUCAGUAGGGAAGAAGCGAAAGUGACGGUACCUGCAGAAGAAGCGCCGGCUAACUACGUGCCAGCAGCCGCGGUAAUACGUAGGGCGCAAGCGUUAUCCGGAAUUAUUGGGCGUAAAGAGCUCGUAGGCGGUUUGUCGCGUCUGCCGUGAAAGUCCGGGGCUCAACUCCGGAUCUGCGGUGGGUACGGGCAGACUAGAGUGAUGUAGGGGAGACUGGAAUUCCUGGUGUAGCGGUGAAAUGCGCAGAUAUCAGGAGGAACACCGAUGGCGAAGGCAGGUCUCUGGGCAUUAACUGACGCUGAGGAGCGAAAGCAUGGGGAGCGAACAGGAUUAGAUACCCUGGUAGUCCAUGCCGUAAACGUUGGGCACUAGGUGUGGGGGACAUUCCACGUUUUCCGCGCCGUAGCUAACGCAUUAAGUGCCCCGCCUGGGGAGUACGGCCGCAAGGCUAAAACUCAAAGGAAUUGACGGGGGCCCGCACAAGCGGCGGAGCAUGCGGAUUAAUUCGAUGCAACGCGAAGAACCUUACCAAGGCUUGACAUGGACCGGACCGCCGCAGAAAUGUGGUUUCCCCUUUGGGGCCGGUUCACAGGUGGUGCAUGGUUGUCGUCAGCUCGUGUCGUGAGAUGUUGGGUUAAGUCCCGCAACGAGCGCAACCCUCGUUCUAUGUUGCCAGCGCGUGAUGGCGGGGACUCAUAGGAGACUGCCGGGGUCAACUCGGAGGAAGGUGGGGACGACGUCAAAUCAUCAUGCCCCUUAUGUCUUGGGCUUCACGCAUGCUACAAUGGCCGGUACAAAGGGUUGCGAUACUGUGAGGUGGAGCUAAUCCCAAAAAGCCGGUCUCAGUUCGGAUUGGGGUCUGCAACUCGACCCCAUGAAGUCGGAGUCGCUAGUAAUCGCAGAUCAGCAACGCUGCGGUGAAUACGUUCCCGGGCCUUGUACACACCGCCCGUCAAGUCACGAAAGUUGGUAACACCCGAAGCCGGUGGCCUAACCCCUUGUGGGAGGGAGCUUCGAAGGUGACCGC
rnacentral:rRNA from 1 species